GACGAACGCUGGCGGCGUGCUUAACACAUGCAAGUCGAACGGAAAGGCCCUGCUUUUGUGGGGUGCUCGAGUGGCGAACGGGUGAGUAACACGUGAGUAACCUGCCCUUGACUUUGGGAUAACUUCAGGAAACUGGGGCUAAUACCGGAUAGGAGCUCCUGCUGCAUGGUGGGGGUUGGAAAGUUUCGGCGGUUGGGGAUGGACUCGCGGCUUAUCAGCUUGUUGGUGGGGUAGUGGCUUACCAAGGCUUUGACGGGUAGCCGGCCUGAGAGGGUGACCGGCAACAGGGGGACUGAGAUAGGCCCAAGACGCCUCCGGGAGGCAGAAGGGGGAAAUAUGGCAAAAGGGGCGGAAGCUGGAGGCACAACCCCCGGGGGCGGGAUGACGGCCUUGGGUUUGAAAACCGCUUUCGCUGGGGACGAAGGGUGAGGGAGGGUAAGGGGUAAAGAAGCACCGGCUAACUACGUG
rnacentral:rRNA from 1 species